UACGAAGGGUGCGAGCGUUAUUCGGAAUUAUUGGGCGUAAAGGGUUCGUAGGCGGGAGAGCAAGUUAAGUGUGAAAUAUCCGGGCUUAACCUGGAAAGUGCAUUUAAAACUGUUUUUCUUGAGUGUUGAAGAGGGUGGUGGAAUCGCUGGUGUAGGAGUGACAUCCGUAGAGAUCAGCAGGAACAUCGGAGGCGAAGGCGGCCACCUGGUCAACAACUGACGCUGAGGAACGAAAGCAUGGGGAGCAAACAGG
rnacentral:rRNA from 1 species